rnacentral:rRNA from 1 species
AUUGAACGCUGGCGGCAGGCCUAACACAUGCAAGUCGAACGCGUGGCGGACGUGUGAGUAAUGUCUGGGAAACUGCCUGAUGGAGGGGGAUAACUACUGGAAACGGUAGUUAAUACCGCAUACCAUCAGAUUUGCCCAGAGGGGAUUAGCCUGUUGGUGGGGUAACGGCUCACCAAGGCGACGAUCCCUAGCUGGUCUGAGAGGGUGACCAGCCACACUGGAACUGAGACACGGUCCAGACUCCUACGGGAGGCAGCAGUGGGGAAUCUUGCGCAAUGGGCGCAAGCCUGAUGCAGCCAUGCCGCGUGUAUGAAGAAGGCCUUCGGGUUGUAAAGUACUUUCAGCGGGGAAGCGUUACCCGAAGAGGAAGCACCGGCUAACUCCGUGCCAGCAGCCGCGGUAAUUC